UCCGGUUUGUCACCGGCGGUCUCCUUAGAGUUCCCACCAUUACGUGCUGGCAACUAAGGACAAGGGUUGCGCUCGUUGCGGGACUUAACCCAACAUCUCACGACACGAGCUGACGACAGCCAUGCAGCACCUGUACUCCGCCCCUUGCGGGUAGCCGGCUUUCACCGGUUUACAGAGCCUUUCAAGCCUAGGUAAGGUUCUUCGCGUUGCAUCGAAUUAAACCACAUGCUCCACUGCUUGUGCGGGCCCCCGUCAAUUCCUUUGAGUUUCACCCUUGCGAGCGUACUCCCCAGGUGGUACACUUAACGCGUUAGCUUCGACACCGACCCUAAGGGCCGACAUCAAGUGUACAUCGUUUACGGCGUGGACUAC
rnacentral:misc_RNA from 1 species